rnacentral:rRNA from 1 species
CGGCAACAGCUCAAAUUUGAAAUCUGGCUUCCGCCCGAGUUGUAAUUUGCAGAGGGUGCCUUGGAGUCGCCUCUGGUCUAAGUUCCUUGGAACAGGACGUCGCAGAGGGUGAGAGUCCCGUACGCGGCCGGGUGGCUUCUCCGUG